rnacentral:lncRNA from 1 species
AGAUGGAUGCUGAUCUGAGGUGCUUUCAUUUCUAUAACCCGUGUGUUUGUUGUUGAAUCCACUGGUAUUCUUUGUCCUUGAAGCAAAAGAAAUUAAACAGCAGUGGAAGAAGAGGAACUGCACUUUCCAAACAAAGGGCCCAAGCUCUAGACUAGGUGCUGGUGGGCGAGGCAGUCUACCCAUCUGGUGUGUUUAUGUGAUGCUUGGUAUUCUUAUCUGCUGCUCUAUGUUGUAUGCGCUUCUCUGAUGUUCGUUUGGAACUUAUUUUCCCAGGGUCACAUCAUUU